CCUACGGGUGGCAGCAGUGAGGAAUAUUGGUCAAUGGGCGGGAGCCUGAACCAGCCAAGCCGCGUGAGGGAAGAAGGUACAGCGUAUCGUAAACCUCUUUUGUCGGGGAGCAAAGAGAGUCACGUGUGACUCAUUGAGAGUACCCGAAGAAAAAGCAUCGGCUAACUCCGUGCCAGCAGCCGCGGUAAUACGGAGGAUGCGAGCGUUAUCCGGAUUUAUUGGGUUUAAAGGGUGCGCAGGCGGUCUGUUAAGUCAGCGGUCAAAGCCCGGGGCUCAACCCCGGCCCGCCGUUGAAACUGGCAGUCUCGAGUUGCAGAGAAGUAUGCGGAAUGCGCGGUGUAGCGGUGAAAUGCAUAGAGAUCGCGCAGAACUCCGAUUGCGAAGGCAGCAUGCCGGCUCCACACUGACGCUGAGGCACGAAAGCGUGGGUAUCGAACAGGAUUAGAUACCCUUGUAGUC
rnacentral:rRNA from 1 species